rnacentral:antisense_RNA from 1 species
UGCAUUCUAGGAAGAUCAUUCCUUAAAAGAAAUAGCCAUAUGGCUUAUAAGAUGGAGUCUCACUCUUGUCACCCAGGCUGCAGUGCAAUGGUGCGAUCUCGGCUCACUGCGACCUCUGCCUCCCGGGUUCAAGUGAUUCUUCUGCCUCAGCCUCCCAAGUAGCUGGGAUUACAGGGACUAUAUCUUAAGACUAUGUGUCUUCUGCAGUUCUUUGCAUAGAGUCAACGUUGAAGGACAAGCAACUUCAAAUUUCCAAGCAACAAAAUUAUGUUCGGGUGGUUUUCUGAAAGCGAGAUCUUAAGAACCACCUGUAUCAGAAUCCCAUGAAGAGCUUGUUUAGUGUGCAAAUUUACAGAUUGUCCCCCCUCAGAAAUGCUCAUUUAGGAGUUCCUGUCCUUUGCGGGGACAUGGAUGAAACUGGAAACCAUCAUUCUCAGCAAACUAACACAGGAACAGAAAACCAAACACUGCAUGUUCUCACUCAAAAGUGGGAGUUGAACAAUGAGAACACAUGGACACAGGGAGGGGAACAUCACACACCAGGGCCUGUCGGGGGUGGGAGGUAAGGGGAGGGAGAGGAUUAGGACAAAUACCUAAUGCAUGUGGGGCUUAAAACCUAGAUGAUGGGUUGAUAGGUGCAGCAAACCACCAUGGACAUGUAUACCUAUGUAACAAACUUGCAUGUUCAGUACAUGUAUCCCAGAACUUAAAGUAAAAUAUAAAACAA